rnacentral:rRNA from 1 species
UACGUAGGGGGCAAGCGUUGUCCGGAAUUAUUGGGCGUAAAGAGCGCGUAGGCGGUCCGGUAAGUCGGUUGUGAAAGUCGGGGGCUCAACCCUCGGAUGCCGAUCGAUACUGUCGGGCUAGAGUCCGGAAGAGGCGAGUGGAAUUCCUGGUGUAGCGGUGAAAUGCGCAGAUAUCAGGAGGAACACCAAUGGCGAAGGCAGAUCUCUGGGCCGUAACUGACGCUGAGGAGCGAAAGCAUGGGGAGCAAACGGG